CAAUGACUUGGAUAAAGACAAAGAUAUCUUGCUUUUUAAAUUUUUCAGAUUAAAAAAAAUUGGCAGAUGGCACAAAUCUGAAAGGAUUUUCAAAUAUACCGUAUAAUGGAUUUGGGAUCCAAAAGAAUCUCAAAGAGAGAGAGCAUUGGCUGAAUCCAGAGAUGAAAUUCACAAGGGAUCGAUGUAAAGCUUUCCAGGUAUAAGUUGAGGGAGACAUUGUUGGGUAGAUAUUUAACUGAAAACAAUAUGGAAUUAUUUUUGGAGUGCAAGUUCAAUAUGGGUCUAUAUUGUGAUAUGGCAGCCAAAAAAAGAAACCUGGAAAAGUCAGUGUGGACUUGGACUUUAUAACAUUUUUUUUGUUUUUUUCUUUUUUGCAGUGGCAAAGAACUCAAAACCAAGAUGAGGUUAGCCCAUUGUUAAGACAGCAGGCCAAGAAAACACUCUGCAAGUCGACAGACGUUCUUCACGGACUAUGUUCCCUUGAGGGAAACAGCCUGGAGAUUUUGUAUGAUGUGGGAAUGGAGUCUAGGACAGAUUAAACUUGACAGAAAUGAAGAAAUUGUGGCUGAGAAGCUAUAUCACAAGGCUAGCUAGUAAGUAUAUAAGGAAGAAUGUGAACUUUGGUCUUCUAGACUCCAAGUCUAUCACCUUCUAUUGACAUCCUAAUUUGGAGUUACUUUCAUAAGCUUAAAUUAUUUUAAAACUAGAAG
rnacentral:lncRNA from 1 species